AGAGAGUGCAAGCGUUAAUCGGAAUUACUGGGCGUAAAGCGCGCGUAGGUGGAUAUUUAAGUCGGAUGUGAAAGCCCUGGGGCUCAACCCAGGAACUGCGCCCGAUACUGGAUAUCUAGAGUAUGGUAGAGGGAAGUGGAAUUUCCGGUGUAGCGGUGAAAUGCGUAGAUAUCGGAAAGAACACCAGUGGCGAAGGCGGCUUCCUGGACUAAUACUGACACUGAGGUGCGAAAGCGUGGGGAGCAAACAGGAUUAGAGACCCUGGUAGUCCACGCCGUCAACGAUGAGAACUGGCUGUUGGGAGGGACUUCCUCUUAGUAGCGAAGCUAACGCGUUAAGUUCUCCGCCUGGGGAGUACGGUCGCAAAGAUUAA
rnacentral:rRNA from 1 species